CGACUACAUGAAGCUGGAAUCGCUAGUAAUCGCGGAUCAGAAUGCCGCGGUGAAUACGUUCCCGGGUCUUGUACACACCGCCCGUCACACCAUGGGAGUCGGAAAUGCCCGAAGUCUGUGACCCAACCUACGGGAGGGAGCAGCCGAAGGCAGGCCGGAUGACUGGGGUGAAGUCGUAACAAGGUAGC
rnacentral:rRNA from 1 species